ensembl:lncRNA
GCACUUGGCAACUGACUCACAUUUAUGAUGGUUGCAGUUAUGACCCCCUUUUGCGACCUCCUGACAAAGCAAAGUCAGUGGGGAAGGCCAGAUUCCACCGUCUUACUAACUUCACAACUGCAGUGAUUUGCUGAACAAGAAAGGUCGUAGCACGGGACAAAACUCACUGAGCCAGCAUCUCACUUAACGUCUCCUGCCUUUCAACACCUCUCUGGUUUUAUUCCAGGUUGCUAACGCCACCGGGGCUGAAUGUAUCCCGUUCAAAGCCCCCUACUAUGAACCCAACGUCGCGGACAAUCUCUUUGGAGGCACCGGCCCCACCGCGAAAGAGGAGGUGCCGCGUUACCACGAGCUACCCACGCUGGAGGAACGAGAGGCGGCAGGCGAGGCCGGCCCCAGUCUGGAAGAUGAAUAUUUAGACCAGAUCAACCCCAUCUAUGACGCCUUCUCCUUUGCGGCCACGGACGACGACGAGGCGUUAACAUCCCUGCCCACGGAUAAGGCCUUCGUGAUGUCCAGAGCCAUGUACGUCUAAAUCUACCGGAUAAUCUCAACAGCCACAGUCCAAAAAAAAAUAUAUAUAUAUGGGAUGCUGCUAAAAAAAGAUAUCCUGUGUUGGUCCUGGAGAGAAGCAAUCUCCAUCUUAGGUACCUGUCUCUGUCUCCUGGGCCUUCCAGCUUUCACACACACGCUUUAGGUGGGCAAGAAUCUACCUUGCUCAGAAAGGAUUCACUACUUGUAUGCCUUCCGCUUCAAUCCAGCCAGAACCAGUAUUUCUUCCAGCCUUCCAGUAGUUUUGACAAAUCUGUCCUCUUGACUUCGUAGACUUUCCAUUCCAGAUCUUUCCUCCGAGGGUUCCUGGAUCGAGAUCUAGUAGAACUUCUAACUGACCUGUGCUGCUUCUGAACCCCACAAAGGAUGUUGCCAUCCCGGGGGGUGGGGAAUGUAGUUGAAUGCUUGUGAAUCUGUUUACAGUAACGUCGAAGCUCUCUUGAUACCCGGACGUACUGUGGGGCUUCUCACUCUGUAAGUGCCUUGCACCUUCACCUCAAUGGGGGGUGGGGGGGGGGGGUCUCCCAUCUUCCCCAGAUUUUAUCCACUACCACGAGGCUCCAGGCAAUCUUGUUAAAAGAUUCACAGGAGUCAGCCUCAACUAAUUCUGGACUCUGAAUGCUCUGGAUUGCAGGGUUGAGCAAAGCAUGUUUAAAAACUGCAGUGACGGGCAUCAUGGGGUUUAUUUUUUUGCCCCCAAUCUGUAUAAAAGAUGACUCAAUUAAGCCUAAUUCUUGAACCCUUCAAAAAAACCUUCUUUUUAAAAAAGUCAUAGGCAGAAAGCCUAUACCUGAGACCAGGUAUAAAGAUUGGGCCUUUCCAUGCAUGGAGAAUUCCCCAAAAAAGGGAAACAGAUGCACUGAGGGAAUUCUGAAAUGAAUCGUGCAGAAAUAGUUUUAUAAAACUGCUUAUUAAUCCUGCCCCUAAUUCCACUGCAUUGUAUGGAGAUAUUCUGUUUGGAGUAGGCUAAAAGCACAAUUAAACUCUGCUAGGGAAAGGCUUAUUCUAAAGAUGCAGCUUUGAAAAAAAAAUUCCUUGGAGGCACCAGCAUAUACACUCCCCAAAAUCGUUGGGAAUUGACCAGAUAGUAAGGUUUCCUGUGUAUUGCACAAAAGUGGCCCCCAAAAUUGGUACGCAGGCACUAAGUCUGAUCUGGAUUCUCCCUCACUGUGGUUCCCAAUCCAGAGGGAGUAACCUUUCAACUUUCUAAAUGGAGAGUUUGCUCCAUUUAGGAAAAUCGGUGUGCCAAACUGUUCCUUUUUUUUUUUUUAGCAUUCUGACACAGGCUCCGGUCGUUACUUGAAUUGUGAUUUUUUUACAUCCCCAGAUCUUCAGUUCUGCUCCAUUAAUACUCUAAUCCUUUUGGGCUCCUGACCUGAAAAUGUGAACGUUUUUUUUUUUUUGGUUUGUUUUUCGAUCGCUGUUCUUGAGUUGGAUGUUUUUAAAACUACAUUUGUAAAUGAGUUGAUUUAGCAUUCCGAGGCAAAGCCUUCUUACACUCUUGCCACUACUGCUGGUUUUUUUUUCUUCUAAAUGCGGGUACCAAUUGGCACUGUGGGAUUUUUUAAUUAUGUUUAUGAUUUUGUUGUCAAAGCUGUUGCUCACCUCUCUAGCUAACAAGACCUGAAUCUCAGGGUUAACGGGAGGGAACAAUUGUCAUACGCACUACUAUGCCUUAUUUCUCCCACCCCUUCUAACCUAUAUGUGCCUCAAUCUGACACUAUCGAGGGGUUGAACUUCAGCAGGAACACAGAGGGAAAAUUUUAUACUCCGGAUGAAUGUUUGUUUAAAAAAAUAAAAUAAAUACAAUUUUCCAAAUCUAUGUGGCUGCCACAAAGUGUUCUGUUGAUGCGUAGAGGAAACACAAUGUCCCGUUUUUAGCUUUGUAAGUCUUUCUGAACUUGCCUUCCAAAUGUGGGACCCCAAUUCCCACCCUGCUCAGGCAGCAGGUUCAUUGUAUUUGUAGCCUGAUACUUCAGGAGGAUUUUGGAAGAAUGAUAGCUAGCAGCCUUGAAGGGGGAAAAACUUGUACAUGGUUCAUUUUGCCUUAAUUUCAGGGAAAGGACAAC